ACGAGUCGUCCAUCGUGAAACGGGAAGUCCAGAAGUGUACACCCAACUCGAGCUUCAGGAUUGACUGCAACACGUGCACGUGCAACAGCGGUGGAACUUCCGCCAGCUGCACCCUGCUGGGAUGUCUCAACUCCAGGCGGAGACUGGUAAAAUGCGCUCCAGGAACGACCUUCAAGGACCAGUGUAACGUCUGUCGCUGCAGUUUCGACGGUAGGAGUGUCUCCUGCACCACGAAAGUGUGUUACCCUGGCUCAUAUUAACCAGCAUUCCUUCGUGAAGGUGACAGAUUGCAGUUUAGACGAAACAACGCCAUUUUAGCAAUGUGGACCCCCUUCUUUAAUGCUGCAGCAAAUUAUUUUCAACUCGCUCAUCGCCUUCAAGCAUGUAAAAGAGACACAAUGAUUGUAAUCUGUCUAUCAAAGACACAACUUUACUUCAAUUGUAUGUAAAUGCAGUAAUGUUUUAAUUUUCUUUUUGAUUCAUUUCCUCAUAAAGUUAUUA